UUUUCCUUGCUACCGGUAGUAAAUGGAUGCCUCGACUUGUGUGUCUGCUACCCCCCUCGCGCAAUUGAAGUUGCAAAGCAUCCCUUGACUACUGUUCUGCUUUCCCCGACAUACACUACCAUAGCUAUGUGUCUGUGAAAGGAUUU
rnacentral:pre_miRNA from 1 species